rnacentral:lncRNA from 1 species
UUCGACAUCAAAGCAUGAAUUGAACAAUGAAAACAAAUUCAGAUCUCACAGUUUUAUUGAUUCCGAGGCUUCUGUUUUCUUAGACCAAUAAAAGCUUUAGCCAAGCAGAGCCAUGGAUGCAAACUUCCAAGGAGAAAAGAGAAAGAGGAGUCCUCCCAGAGAAAAGAGAAAGAGCCCCCUUUUCAGCCCCCUUUCUUUCACCUUUAUCCCUUCCAAAAAAAUCUCCUAACAAAUAUUCAAAUCUGACUAAUUACAAAAAAUAAAAUAAAGUCCUAAUAUAAAUGGGAAAGUGGUGUUUCCAGCUAGGAUUUUCGUGCAUCAAAUCUGGAAACUUCUGAAAAUUGACCGAGUCAAAUCCAC